rnacentral:tRNA from 1 species
GAUAAGUAUUGAUCAAGAAAAAGCUGCUAACUUUUCCCUUUAAUGGUUAAAUUCCAUUUAUAUCUCU